UUGGUAAUACAAGAUUAGCCAUUGUUCCUUACAUCUGUGCAUCUGAUUUUGCAAUGUAUAGAAGAUGUGUCCAAAUAUGCAGCACCCAGUCUUCCUAGACAGUAAAGAGGUGCCAGUGUGUGUGACAAAGUAAAGUGAGUGAACAGACAUGUUUGUAAAUUACGUGAAAAUUUGUAGGAAAAAACUCAUAAAACCAUUUAGGAAAUGAAAGAGUUCAUCUCCCAACAAAGACAUGGCAGUUGCACACGUGACCCCUGGGUGGAGAGAACAGGAAGAGGGGCUAGACCAGAACCUUGGUGUUGAGAAGGCAGUUUCUGACUGCAGCCUUUGUUAGGUGUACAGUGUAUCCACAGCAGUGUACUCAUGCUAGGGAAACGGAAGUGCGUAUUGGGAACAUCAGUCUCUAGAUAGUCUUCAGAAGUACAUUAAUUGUCUUGGUGUGGUAGGGCACGCCUUUAAUUCUAGGCUGAGGCAGGUGGAUCUCUGUGUUCUGGGUCAGCCAGUGCUAUCUAUAGACUUUGUCUCAAAUCAGUAAGAAAGUGUGCAUGAUGAAAUGGCAGGGUGGCUCGGCAUGGAAAGGUGCUUGUCACCAAGCUGGUGACCUGAGCUUGAUUUCCAGGAUCCACGUGAUAGGAGAAGUCAUUCACAACUUGUCUUUUAGCCUCCACACAAGUGCAGUGGCACAGUGUGCACACAUGCAUACAGUAAUGCGUAAAUGUAAAACUGCACACCAUGGUAACACCACUUUUUAGAUUGUUUUAUUUCAUAGGAAUGGUCACACUGGGGAAGUGAAGGUCAAAGUUGGCCUUUGAACAGAUGCUGUUACCAGGCGGUGGAGGUGGGCUAAGGCAAAGACUAGUGCUGAGAAAAAGACACUGUAGCUGUUGGUUCAAGCUGUCUAGCCACCAGUUAGAUUUGCAUUUCAGUUAACCAGUUGCCAGGCAUUAGAAAUAGUCCCAGUGCCUAAAGGAUGUUAGCAGUAGCAAAAGAGUCACUAGAAGUCAGGCUGGUCUUUGUUAUUGUCUCACUAGCAUCAUCUGCGCUUAGGAGUUGUGCGGAGAAGAGGAUGAGAGAGGGAAAGACUGUAGUACUACUACAUCCAGAAGACAGCUGUCUGUACCCAGGGGCCCUAUGUGCAUCUCGGGAAAAUACUUGUGUUCAUUGUGCAGAGUUCAUUCCUCAUCUGAACGUUAUGUCCUAAAGGAGAGCACAUAGCUUAAAGAAUAGCUAGUGAUAUGGCAGAACUGACAGAGGGUUCCUCUUGAAUAUGGAACUGGUAAGCCAUGUCUGGACAGUGGGGAAAUUCAUGUUGCUAGGAUGACUGGAGGGGCAGAGAGGCUCUCGGGGUGAGGUCUGCAGCUGUGUGGAGACUGACAUCCUGAGAGCCCCCACCGUGGGUGCAUCUCCCAGCUGCUCCAUGGGAAUACAUUUCUUGAUCGGGGAACACCCCUUCUGCAUAUGUUAGUGUCUAGAUCUGAUGAUGAGCUUAGGAAUGCUAGACUUAGUGUGGUUUGUUGCUUUGUGUUUCCUUGUGAGCUGAGCACUGAGCAAAUGCAGAAUUUAGUUGUAACUUUGCCAGUACGUCUAUCUAGAGGCCUGCUGCCGUUUUUGUCUCCUAUGAAGUUUCUUUUGCCAAGGAAGACAAGAUUACAAUUUUGUCUGACAGAUUGAGAUGGCAUGGUGUAUUCUUGGCUAUCAAAAUCCUCCUGUAGCAUGGGGUUUUUAGUUGGUGAAUAUUCACAAUGUGGGGAAAGCAUAGUACAUACUAUAUAAUCUCCAUUACCCAAGUGUAUGUACACCUGCAAGAUCUAGAACGACACAUCGAGCUGAGCUGCUUGUGACUGGGUGACUUUGUUCUUGCCCUCUUGUGUUUUGUUUCCUGUAAUGCACAUAUUAAAAAAUAAAUGAAACCUUCUUUUAAAACUGAAAAAAAAAGAAACUCACAGUAAUAAAAACCUUAGAGCUACAUCAAUCCAUAAAUGCUGUACCAAUGUAAAAUUAUAACUUAUAUUGCAUCAAUUAUAAAGAUUUCUACCAAUAUAUGAUGUGGCUAUACAAUGUUUUGUUUAAGACUAAAUUUCAUAACAUAUCUCCUAUUUGUCUAUUCCUCUAAUGUCUAGGAUAUUACUAUGUCCCUCCUUCUUUCUUCCAUGCCCCCUUCCUUUACCUAAGGAGGAAAUAGAAGAGGAAAGGAAGGGUAAAAAUCCCUGAGUCUAAGCUCGAUAAUUUCUUCCCUGUCCAAAGCUACAACAUUAGCAAACAUCCCUUAAAUGACAACAUAUCUACAAUUCAUAAAAUAACCAGAACCAUUCACGCCAACCUGAAGGACUGGGACAACAAUCUUCUUUUGCUUGCUUCUAUCUUAAUUGGGGUGAAGAAUUCCCUUCUUUGGCCCAAAGAGAAAUAGGAAAAUUGGCUUUGUCAAAGGAGGGCAAGCUGGCAUCAUUUGCCUUCUAGUUCCUAUUUUCUGAGAAAGUUCAUGGCUGGCAUCCUAACAGUAACAGUCUGAAAGGUUGGAUGGGUGAGCCAGCGGUCUGGAAAUGUCCUGGAAGCACGUUGUUAGAGGAAACAGCUUCAAUGUAGUUGAAGUAGAAUCAAACACGGAGCUAGAAGAGGAGGUCCCAGAAUCUCAGCAUCGCAGAGUGUGAAUCUUCUCGGUCUAUCUUUCUCCUCUUUCAAUCUGCAGUACACAAACACCACAAGCAGCACAUAGCUCUGUAAAGACAUUCAUAUGGAGUGUGCAGGGUGCACAGAUCAAUGAAUGAAGAUCAAUAAAGAAGACAACUGCCUUUCUUCUUAGGUUGAUGUCUUUAUGCAAGUGAAGGCAGACAAGAUAAAAUGAGGCCUGCCAUUGGAUGAGAAAGAAAGGAGGCAAGAAUAGACUUUUUAGAAGAGAGGGAGAAGCAGGAGAGAAUUGCCAGAGCGAGGAAGGAGGAGCUGAGACAACAAUGCAACCAUCGUUAAGAUUAAUCUCUUCACAUUGAUACAGGUUGUUAUGACUAUUUUUAAGGGAUGGGUGUGUACAGGAUUUUUUUGCUGUCUAGAUGGGCAAAUUAUAUCUUACCAAUUAGGUCAGAGGUAAUUCUGCCCUUUGUUCUUUCGUGUGGCAACUUAAUUGAGUUCAAGAGAAUGUGCGGUGGUGGGACACACUGGGUCUGCCAUGGAAUUGGGAUGUGUAUGCCUGGUGUGGUAACCACCUGCCAAGGAAACUGUGACUGAUUGACUCACGGACAACCCCAGUCAGAGGGAGCUGGAGAGAGAAAGCACAGAGCAGUACAUGCAAAACCAGCUGGGAUGAGCACCUUUCAUUUUUUAAUCGGAAAAAGUGGUACCCAAAUGGGACAAGAAUCCACUAAAAAUUAAAGUUUUCAGGCUGAGAAAGUUUUGUUUUCUAAGUAAGAGGGGGCCAGCACCAUACGGAGUCACUUGAUGUUGCUAGUACAGGAAUCUUAAACAAAGAAAGGAAGACAGUCAGCUGACAGACUCACGUCCUCUGCUGUGAAAAGUACUGGGUACUUCUAGUCACAGAGAGAUAAAUAAUGGAGGCUGCCUGCUCCCUUACCACAUGUUGAUUAGAAUAUGCUUUAUUUUAAAGGCUGCUUUAUUUGCUUUUAGAAUACUAUGUACAGAGUUUGUCUGAAUCACAUGGGGAUUUUCAACCAUGAUUCAGGACUAGGUAGAAAUAGAUAAAAGUCUGUGACACCAGGCAGAGUGAAUACAGACAUAUUGUAGAAGUCAUUACUAAAUAAAGGCCUGAUGUUCCAGGUAGAGAGCUUAACAUAUAGAUGGUAUUAUUUUGGUCUAGAGGAUACUUAGAUUCUCUAACACGAGCUCCAUGGAAUUUGGGGUUAAAAUCCUACUUUGACAAAUUGCCUGCUUCUUAAUGACAGGUUUUAAUGAAACUGUGAAUAAAUUUGUUUUUAUAGUUUGAAGGAGAAAAUCAUGUGGGGAUUUUCACCAGUUUGAACUUACAGAAAAUGAGUCACUGACUCUAAUUAGGGAGUGGUCGCAUUUGCCUGUUAUAAAAUUGUUAUUAUACGAAAAAAGUAUGUACACCAGGCAGAGUGAAUACAGACAAGUAGUAGAGAAGUUAUUAAUGAAUAGAAGUCUGACGUUCCAGGUAGAGAGCUUAACAGAUGUAUUUUGGGCUAAAAUCUUAGUUUGGCAACUUGCUUACUCCUAUUGGUAUUGGUAUUACUAAAAAGGUGGUCAAAUUGUUUUAGGAACAACUCCACUAAGGCCACAUGGCUCAUCAAGGCCAGCUAGCGAGGGUUUGUGGUUAUUUUUGAUGUUUACUGCAAUGAGAGGCUCAUAUUCUUUUAAUGUGGGCUCCACACGAAUAUUGACUUCAUUUCCUGGGAAGAGAGAUUAGAAAAGUGUAAACAGGCUCACAUAGUAUUAUUUAGUUUACCUCAUUUUUUAAAUUGUUUUAAUUUUCAUAAUGGGUGUGAUUUUGAGUCUUGUGGUUGUACUAUUUCUCUGUGAGAGAGAGUAAGAUACAAGCUUAUCUGGUUACAGACUAAGGAACACCAUAUUUUGAGAGAAAGGUUUUGUCUUUGUGUUUUUUAAAAAGGGUGAUUAGGGUUUGGACACUUUUCAGAGUUAUGCUGAUUAAAUUUGAUAAACUUAGAACUCCUGAAAAACUAAACUCAAGAGAACAAACAAAAAGAUAUCUUGAUGCUAAAAUUUUGUUUUGAGAUUUAUGUAUUACAGAACGUGCAUCAUGGUGAAGCUCAUCAUCAGAAUGCUGAACUGACCUGCUUGGAAUCCUGAUCUCAAGGACUUUUGAAAGAAUAAAGAUUUUAAACUAUCCCCCAUGACCCUGCUGUGAGGACAAGUGCACCUCACAGCAAAGAAUAAAAUAAAAUGUUUUGGGGAUGUAGCCUGGCUAUAGCCACCACAAACCAUCUGGCCUCAAUAAGGCCUGAGAAAACUCCGGUGAGAAAAAAACGAGAAUUAGGGUCAGCUUGCCCCAGAAGGAGGGUGGCCUAGAGUUGAACUGAGCUCAAGUUACAAACCAAUGAAAUUGCUUUGUGUGACUGUUGCUAACUGCCUAUGUAAUUUUCCCUAUAAAUCCCUUCCCCUAAUUGGACUCAGGGUCGACUUCUCUGUCUCCUGUGUGAGAUACGUGUCGUCCCCAGAGCUCUGGUUCCUCAAAUACACCUCUUGUUUAUUACAUCAA